rnacentral:RNase_P_RNA from 1 species
CGAGCAGCAUAAACGGUCGCUGCCGCAGCGAAGGCUGCGGGAGAGGAAAGUCCGGGCUUCACAGGGCAGGAUGCCUGAUAGCGUCAGGUGGGAGCGAUCCUAAGGAAAGUGCAACAGAAAGUAUACCGCCUCAAUGCCACGGCAUUGUGGUAAGGGUGAAAUGGCAGUGUAAGAGACUACCGGCUCUGCGGUAACGCGGCAGCGCAUUGUAAACCCCAUCCGAAGCAAGUCCAUGAAGAAACGAUAUGGCGGCCCGUCAUGUUUCGGGUAGGACGCUUGAGGUAUACGGUGACGUAUAUCCUAGAUAGAUGACCGUUCACGACAUAACCCGGCUUACAGUGCUGCUCAUUUU